UUGAACGCUGGCGGCAUGCUUUACACAUGCAAGUCGAACGGUAACAGGCCUUCGGGUGCUGACGAGUGGCGACCGGGUGAGUAAUGCAUCGGAACGUGCCCAGAGGUGGGGGAUAACGCAGCGAAAGCUGUGCUAAUACCGCAUGUGAUCUGAGGAUGAAAGCGGGGGACCAGGCAGCAAUGUUUGGCCUCGCGCCUUUGGAGCGGCCGAUGUCAGAUUAGGUAGUUGGUGGGGUAAAGGCCUACCAAGCCGACGAUCUGUAGCUGGUCUGAGAGGACGACCAGCCACACUGGGACUGAGACACGGCCCAGACUCCUACGGGAGGCAGCAGUGGGGAAUUUUGGACAAUGGGCGCAAGCCUGAUCCAGCAAUGCCGCGUGCGGGAAGAAGGCCUUCGGGUUGUAAACCGCUUUUGUACGGAACGAAAAGGCUCUGGCUAAUACCUGGGGCUGAUGACGGUACCGUAAGAAUAAGCACCGGCUAACUACGUG
rnacentral:rRNA from 1 species